UACGGGGGGGUAAGCGUUGUUCGGAAUUACUGGGCGUAAAGCGCACGUAGGCGGACUGUUAAGUCAGGGGUGAAAUCCUGGAGCUCAACUCCAGAACUGCCUUCGAUACUGAAGAGCUUGAGUCCGGGAGAGGUGAGUGGAACUGCGAGUGUAGAGGUGAAAUUCGUAGAUAUUCGGAAGAACACCAGUGGCGAAGGCGGCUCACUGGCCCGGUACUGACGCUGAGGUGCGAAAGCGUGGGGAGCAAACAGG
rnacentral:rRNA from 1 species